rnacentral:rRNA from 1 species
UUCCGUAGGUGAACCUGCGGAUGGAUCAUUACCAAAGAUGUUUACACAUCCAAGUACUGUGAACUGUUUACUAACCGUCAGAGUGUGGCUGUGUCGUCGGACGCUUCGGCAGCCGUGCGACUGGGCCAUGCUCUGCGCGGACUCCAUGAGUAGAAAGCCCUCCCAUACUUAUAAGCUGUAAUUAGUGUAGAAACUAAAACAACUUUUAGCAACGGAUCUCUAGGCUCUCGCAACGAUGAAGAACGCAGCAAACCGCGAUAGGUAGUGUGACUUGCAAAUACCGUGAAUCAUCAAAUCUUUGAACGCACAUUGCACUGCCUGGAAUUCCGGGCAGUAUGCCUGUUUGAGUAUCAGUAAACACUCUCUUCCACCAGGGCCUUACCGGCGCGAUGGAAGAAAAUUUGGGCUCUUAGUGUGCCUCUCAGGUGCAAUAUAGCCUCAAAUGCAGUUACCCGGUGGCGGCCGUCAGUUGUUGCCCAGCAGUAGAGUUGAUGGCUCCGGCCUUAAACUAUUGCGCGGCAGCUUUGGCUGUGGUCUCGCUCUCCAGGUUCAUCUCAACACUUCGGGGGCGCUGUGCAGCAGCGUCCUUGGACAUUGAUCUCAAAUCAGGCAAGAUUACCCGCUGAACUUAAGCAUAUUAAUAAGCGGAGGAAAAGAAACUAACAAGGAUUCCCCCAGUAAUGGCGAAUGAAGAGGGAAGAGCUCAAAUUUGAAAUCUCCUAGGAGAAUUGUAGUUUGUAGAAGUGUUUUCGUUGGCAGCCUGGGUCCAAGUCCUCUGAAACGAGGCAUCAUGGAGGGUGAUAAUCCCGUCUAUGGCCCGGGUACUGUCACGCUACGAGGCACUCUCAAAGAGUCGGGUUGUUUGGGAAUGCAGCCCUAAGCUGGUGGUAUAUUUCAUCUAAAGCUAAAUACAGGCGAGAGACCGAUAGCAAACAAGUACCGUGAGGGAAAGAUGAAAAGAACUUUGAAAAGAGAGUUAAAUAGUACGUGAAAUUGCUAAAAGGGAAACGCUUGAAGU